rnacentral:rRNA from 1 species
GUGGGGAAUAUUGGACAAUGGGCGAAAGCCUGAUCCAGCCAUGCCGCGUGUGUGAAGAAGGCCUUCGGGUUGUAAAGCACUUUUGUCUGGGAGGAAGGGCUGUGGGUUAAUACCCUGUUGUUUUGACGUUACCNANAGAAUAAGCACCGGCUAACUCCGUGCCAGCAGCCGCGGUAAUACGNAGGGUGCAAGCGUUAAUCGGAAUUACUGGGCGUAAAGCGUGCGCAGGUGGUUUUUUAAGUCGGAUGUGAAAUCCCCGGGCUCAACCUGGGAACUGCAUUGGAAACUGCCAGGCUAGAAUCUGGUAGAGGGGGGUGGAAUUCCACGUGUAGCAGUGAAAUGCGUAGAGAUGNGGAGGAACACCGAUGGCGAAGGCAGCCCCCUGGACCUAAGAUUGAC